CCCGUAACCCAGCAGUCCAAGUAGCAGCCGUAAUUAUUGGGUCUAAAACAUUCGUAGCUGGUUUAGCAAGUUUCCUGUGAAAUGUUAUCUCUCAAGGAUAAUGCAUGCAGGAAAUACUGUUGGGCUUGAGACCGGGAGACGUAAUGAGUACAGUUAAGGUAGUAGUAAAAUACUUUAAUCUUGACUGGACUUACAAUGGCGAAGGCACGUUGCGAGAACGGAUCUGACGGUAAGGAAUGAAGGCUAGGGGCGCAAAACGGAUUAGAUACCCGUGUAGUCCUAGCUGUAAACACUGCGUACUAAACUUUGUGAUCUCCUCGAGAGAUUGCAGAGCUGUAGCGAAGGCGUAGAGUACGCUACCUGGGGAGUAUAGCCGCAAGGCCGAAACUUAAAGGAAUUGGCGGUGGAGCAC
rnacentral:rRNA from 1 species